NGGGCAGCCACUUUUACUAAAAUUGGAACGAAUACAAGAGAAGAUUUAGCAUGGGCCCCUCACGCAAAGAGAUGACACGCAAAUUCGUGAAGGCGUUCCAUAUUUCU
rnacentral:snRNA from 1 species